CUUGGAGGUAGCUCAGCACCAGGAUGGUUCUUCAGGAUAUGUGCUUUGCGUUUGCUGGCACUCUUGUACACCUUAUCACAGUACUGACAGAAAUAAUCUCUGUUGGGUUUGAUGAUGGGCAACGUGAGCUCUGGCACCUCUUCUAUUUUCAUGUCUGGAUGUCUCUUUGAUAGAUGAUUCACCAACAUCCCCCUCCGGCGGAAGCCCAUCAUGCACAGUCG
rnacentral:lncRNA from 1 species